CGUGGUGUGAGCUGGGGCGUGGAGUUGUCCCGUUCGGGUCCCGGGCCGGGGACACAGCUCCAGACCCCAGUCCUGCACCCACGGCCCUCACUGAGCUGGCUUAGUUUUCUGUAUUCUAAAAGAGGCGGUCUUUGCAGUUAGCCUCGGAGGCGCCUCAGGAGGGGGUCACUCCGGACGGGACGGGAAGUGCCAGCGCUCUGCGGGUCCCAGCCGCGUGGGGUGCCCUGGGCUCGCUGGCUCCUUCCUGCGUGUCGUGCACCGCACCGGGAGGCCGGACAUUGUCCCCACCCCCCGGGAAGCCCACCAGGCCGGCCUCGGCCACCUCCGAGGCAGCCCUUAGUAUUCUUUGGAUUUGAGAUUUGAGCUCACCUCCACCCUACCUCCGCCCCUUCCUGGCCGAACGACCUUGGGGACCCACGGGGCCUUUCUGAGCUUCGGAUCAGCCACCUGCAAAAACUGAGCUGAUGAAGCUUCCCGCACCGAGCUAGAGGCUUCACAGCAGCUGCCUGGGCCACAAGGAAGUUCCUGGUAGAGAGGGAUCGGGCCCCCACACCCGCCCGGGGACCACAAGUUCCCAGACCAAAGAAACUGGCUGGGGCUCCGUUAGAAGAAAGCCCCCCAACCUGCUUCCCAGGCGCUGGAUUCCAGGCGUCCCACCCACACACAGGCGACACACUUCCUGGACCUCUGCCCUGCACUCUCAACACCCAGCUGUCACCUUGCCCUGGCCCCUGGAAGUCGCUCCUCUGCUUGGAAGCUGGACCACCAUGUCCCCUCACACUUAGGAGCGAAGGGUCCCCGAGGCCCGGGCUCCAUCAGGGGCUCUCUCGGUCCCCAAGUGGUCCUUGUGCUCUCAGGCCAGCCUGGCCCGACCUGAGGGAACUGGAUGUGCUGGGGUGGGGGUGGCAGCACUGCAGGGGCCAGGGGAUGCCCCACUGGGUUCAGCCCUGGCUCUGAGCAGCCUCCAGCUGGCCCGAGGCCCCAGGCUGCCUGGCAUUUUCCACCGGCCCAUGCCAGCACCCAGGCAGCCUGGCAGUGGCCGUGGGUACCCGCAUUCCCUUUGGCAGUAGCCUGUACCUCCUGCACGGCCCCUCCUGGUCUGUGCCUACCUCAUCCCCGGCCAAGCUUCCCUGGCACACUAUGGGGAGAGCCUUGUGUCUGGGUCUGUGUAGGGGGCCCUUAGCUAUAUGGGCUCUGAAGCAGACACCCUGGGCCUAGACUGGCAUAGGACAGAGAGCGGUGCGGUGUCUGGGGUGACCUGGCCCGCUGCCCGCCCAGCAGUGUGUGGCAUAGCAGAAUAGGGACUGGACCCAAGGAGCCCUGCAGACUGCCUGGCAGCCAGUAAAAGGUCCAGCCCCCAGGACUCUGGGUCACGGCUCUAUGCCUCUGUACGGGGCAGGGAGAGUGGGGGCGUGUAGGGUGCUGCGCCAGGGUACUGGGCUGCAGGCACCCAGUGGGAACAGAGGGGGCCUAUGUGUGUGUGUGUGGGAAAGUGGGUGCCGGGGCAUGGCCAUGUGCAGGUGGGAGAACAAAGAGGGAGGUGAGUUACAGGCACAUCUCAGUGCAGGGGGCGGUGGGGGGGCACUCCAAGUGAGGGUGUGUCUCGUAAAAGCCCUGCUGUCCACUAUGGCUGGAGCUGGCCCCUGUGAUCUCAGAAGCCUUACAGCAAGAAGGC